rnacentral:rRNA from 1 species
AGCUAACUCGCGAGAGUAUGCAAAUCUCAAAAGCCAUCCUCAGUUCGGAUUGGAGUCUGCAACUCGACUCCAUGAAGUUGGAAUCGCUAGUAAUCGCGGAUCAGCAUGCCGCGGUGAAUACCGGUUCCCGGGCCUU